rnacentral:rRNA from 1 species
ACGCCGCCCUCGCGUGGGCGUGUCGGCGGCGAACAGGGUGUCCCCCAAGAACCGGUCGUGGGCCAAGAAGACGGUGAUGUCCCAUGCAGACGUCGCACAAGUUCCUGGUGGCAGCAUGAUGAGUGGGCUCAAGCAGCGACCCGGCGUCAGCUUGACGGCGUGGACUGUCAGGAUAUCAUCCUGAUGCGUGGUGAUCAAUUCAGUCAUGGACGGAGAAAAGAUCCAAAUUCGUUGAUGGAGUUAGAGCUUCCCUACAGCAGAGUCUUAGGUGGAUGCAGCUGCUGGUCACACUUUAACCACACGUCAAUUGCACGAGUGGUGUGCCAUGAUGUUAAGAAGUUCAGUGUAGGCAGGAGAAAAAAAUCUUGGAGGGUGAUUUGUAGUCAUUUUCCUAUUGUGUAUGCUCUGUUCUACAUGUUCAGAUUGUCCUUUAGCAGCAAUAGAAUGUCAUGUUUAAUAAUCCUCCAGCAGAGU